rnacentral:lncRNA from 1 species
CGCGGCCCCGAAGCAGGAACCAGGUCCGGAUUCCAUGUUGAGGAGGGGCACCGCGGGUCCAGGUUUAAGGCCGGCUGAAUUCACAGGAUGAGUCUCAGUGAAGACAAGGAUUGUUCAUCAUCGCCCAUCAGUGAUCCUGGUCCAGAUCCAGUCCACCAUGGACCCCAGACCUCCAACACACAAGCUCAGUGGAUCAGAACCAGACCAGAGUCUUCAGUGUCCGUCUGUCUGUCUAUGAAGAGUGACUGGUCUAAAGACCCACCUCCAUGCUUCAGUCCUGGACCUGGACCUGGACCUGGACCUUCAGACCCACAGUAAGUCUGUCUUCUCCUGGACAGUCCUUUGGUUCCUCUUCUUUGGUUUAAAUCCAGUGCAGACUAGUUUUUCCUUUGGUUCCGUCUCAUU